rnacentral:rRNA from 1 species
UACAGAGGGUGCUAGCGUUAAUCGGAAUUAUUGGGCGUAAAGGGCGCGUAGGCGGCCUGGCAAGUGGAAGGUGAAAUCCCUCGGCUUAACCGAGGAACUGCCCUCCAAACUGCUUGGCUUGAGUCCGGGAGAGGUGAGUGGAAUUCCCAGUGUAGCGGUGAAAUGCGUAGAUAUUGGGAGGAACACCAGUGGCGAAGGAGGCUCACUGGACCGGAACUGACGCUGAGGCGCGAAAGCGUGGGGAGCAAACGGG